GUCCACGCCGUAAACGAUGGAUACUUGGUGUUGGAGGUAUUGACCCCUUCAGUGCCGAAGCUAACGCGUUAAGUAUCCCGCCUGGGGAGUACGGUCGCAAGAUUAAAACUCAAAGAAAUUGACGGGGCCCGCACAAGCGGUGGAGCAUGUGGUUCAAUUCGAUGCAACGCGAAAAACCUUACCUGGGCUCGAAAUGUAGAGGAAGUUAGCAGAGAUGUUAACGCCUUCGGGUCUCUAUAUAGGUGCUGCAUGGCUGUCGU
rnacentral:rRNA from 1 species